AAAUGUCGGGGGCAAAGCUUCGGUGCUUUGGGAGGAGCCUGCGGCCUAUCAGUUAGUUGGUAAGGUAAAAGCUUACCAAGACGAUGACGGGUAGCUGGUGUGAGAGCACGACCAGCCAGAAUGGGACUGAGACACGGCCCAUACUCCUACGGGAGGCAGCAGUGAGGAAUCUUCCGCAAUGGACGAAAGUCUGACGGAGCGACACCGCGUGUAGGAUGAAGCCCUUUCGGGUGUAAACUACUUUUCUGAAGGAAUAAUUUCUGAAGUUACUUCAGGAAUAGGCAUCGGCUAAUUACGUGCCAGCAGCCGCGGUAAUACGUAAGAUGCGAGCGUUAUCCGGAAUUAUUGGGCGUAAAGCGUCUGUAGGUGGUUAGUUAAGUCUGAGGUUAAAAUUCAGGGCCCAACCCUGAAAUCGUCUCGGAAACUGGCUAACUAGAAUUAGGUAGGGGCAAGUAGAAUUCUGCAUGUAGGGGUAAUAUCCGUAGAUAUGCAGAGGAAUACCAAAAGCGAAGGCAGCUUGCUGGGCCUAUAUUGACACUGAGAGACGAAAGCGUGGGGAGCGAAAAGGAUUAGAUACCCUUGUAGUCCACGCCGUAAACGAUGGAUACUCGAUGUAGGAGGAAUCGACCCCUUCUGUGUCUAAGCUAACGCGUUAAGUAUCCCGCCUGGGGAGUACGGUCGCAAGAUUAAAACUCAAAGGAAUAGACGGGGACCCACACAAGCGGUGGAGCAUGUGGUUUAAUUCGACAAUAAGCGGGGAACCUUACCAGGACUUGACAUCCCGAGAACUCCGAAGAGAUUUGGAGGUGCCGCAAGGAACUCGGUGACAGGUGCUGCAUGGUUGUCGUCAGCUCGUGCCUUGAGGUGUUCUGUUAAGUCAGUAAACGAGCGCAACCCAUGUCAUAAUUUGUAAUUUAUUAUGAGACUGCCGGCUCCAAGUCGGAGGAAGGUAUGGAUGACGUCAAAUCAGCAUGGCCCUUAUGUCCUGGGCUACACACGUGCUACAAUGGCUGGUACAAAGGGCAGCGAAGCCGUAAGGUGGAGCCAAUCCCAUCAAAGCCAGUCUAAGUUCGGAUUGAGGUCUGCAACUCGACCUCAUGAAGUUGGAAUCGCUAGUAAUCGUAGAUCAGCAAUGCUACGGUGAAUAUGUUCCUGGGUCUUGUACUCACCGCCCGUCAAGUCAUGAAAGAUAGGGGCGCCCGAAGUCGCGUUAUCCCCGACA
rnacentral:rRNA from 1 species